GCGAAACGCACCGGUGUCUAUCGAUCGUUGGAUUCGCAGCGGCGAUGGAUCGAUCGAUCGAUCGAAGACGCGGUGAAAAAUCUU